rnacentral:rRNA from 1 species
CGUGCCUACCAUGCAAGUCGAGCGAUGAACCCCUUCGGGGGUGGAUUAGCGGCGGACGGGUGAGUAACACGUGGGUAACCUGCCUCAAAGUGGGGGAUAGCCUUCCGAAAGGAAGAUUAAUACCGCAUAAAGCCAAGUUUCACAUGGAAUUUGGAUGAAAGGAGUAAUUCGCUUUGAGAUGGACCCGCGGCGCAUUAGUUAGUUGGUGGGGUAAUGGCCUACCAAGACAGCGAUGCGUAGCCGACCUGAGAGGGUGAUCGGCCACAUUGGAACUGAGAUACGGUCCAGACUCCUACGGGAGGCAGCAGUGGGGAAUAUUGCACAAUGGGCGAAAGCCUGAUGCAGCAACGCCGCGUGAGUGAUGAAGGUCUUCGGAUUGUAAAGCUCUGUCUUUUGGGACGAUAAUGACGGUACCAAAGGAGGAAGCCACGGCUAACUACGUGCCAGCAGCCGCGGUAAUACGUAGGUGGCGAGCGUUGUCCGGAUUUACUGGGCGUAAAGGGUGCGUAGGCGGAUGUUUAAGUGAGAUGUGAAAUACCCGGGCUUAACUUGGGUGCUGCAUUUCAAACUGGAUAUCUAGAGUGCAGGAGAGGAGAAUGGAAUUCCUAGUGUAGCGGUGAAAUGCGUAGAGAUUAGGAAGAACACCAGUGGCGAAGGCGAUUCUCUGGACUGUAACUGACGCUGAGGCACGAAAGCGUGGGUAGCAAACAGGAUUAGAUACCCUGGUAGUCCACGCCGUAAACGAUGAGUACUAGGUGUAGGAGGUAUCGACCCCUUCUGUGCCGCAGUAAACACAUUAAGUACUCCGCCUGGGAAGUACGAUCGCAAGAUUAAAACUCAAAGGAAUUGACGGGGGCCCGCACAAGCAGCGGAGCAUGUGGUUUAAUUCGAAGCAACGCGAAGAACCUUACCUGGACUUGACA